AGGGAGAACUCCCGCGCUGCCCAUCGCAGCCACGCUGCCACCGCCGCCUCGUUCCAUUGGCGAGGGUCUGUUGAAUAAAUUAGUGCAUAUUGGGACGAAUGAAUUGUAUUUGGAGUAAAAAUUAUGAAAACAUUUUAAGGACGAAUGUAACGUCAUUCGAAUAUUGGUUCACGAGCUUUUAGUCAGUUGCUGUCGGGACACGACGUUUAAUGUUUAUGUCGACGUGUGACCACGAGAACUGCGGACAACGGUAUCAGAUCAUAACUGUAAAGCGAUUCAACACGACAAUAUCAAAGGGAAAUGACGUGCUUGCUCGUGUUACAAUCAAAUCAGAGAUGAAAAUGUGAAAAGUAUCGAGUUUAUUGCACGUAAAAAUUAGGUGUUUUAAGUUUUAUUGUAAGUUUUUAUGUAAUAAUAUGUCUUUGAUCUUAAAAUAAAUAAAUAAGUAGUUCCUUCAGUCCGUGAUUUGUUUUCUUUCAACAUAAUGUUUAUUUAAUAAAUAAAGUC